AGUGAACGCUGGCGGCAGGCCUAACACAUGCAAGUCGAGCGGCAGCGGGUUCCCGCGAGGGGAUGCCGGCGAGCGGCGGACGGGUGAGGAACACAUCGGAAUCUGCCUGGUUGUGGGGGAUAACGUAGGGAAACUUACGCUAAUACCGCAUGCGACCCUGAGUCGACGGACUGGGGGUGAAAGUGAGGGACCUUCGGGCCGUCACGCGACCAGAUGAGCCGAUGUCGGAUUAGCUAGUUGGCGGGGUAACGGCCCGCCAAGGCGACGAUCCGUAGCUGGUCUGAGAGGAUGAUCAGCCACACUGGGACUGAGACACGGCCCAGACUCCUACGGGAGGCAGCAGUGGGGAAUCUUGGACAAUGGGCGCAAGCCUGAUCCAGCCAUG
rnacentral:rRNA from 1 species